CUCCGCCGAAAACCCUAAUUCCUCGCUUGACGAAUCGAAAACCCUAACUCCCCAAUGUCUUCUCUUUGUUUCCCCCUCCCUGUCUCGAGUUCUUUUUCCUGUAAGCAGCCGCUCCGAUCCGAGAUUUCCUCUCGGGUUUUCUUCCAAGUGCGUGGCAGGUGGCCGGAGGCGAGGUGGCACGCGUUGCUUGCACAUCCGAGGAAAUCUUACGUGACUUCGGAAACCGCUUUACCGGCAUGAUCACGGUCCGCUGCCGCUCACGUUCGGUUCUUGUAGUUCCCAUUGUUUUGUGUUGAUAUCGGUUUGCUUACCUUGAUCUUGUUGGUUUCUGAUAUGCUUUGUUCUUUCCUUAUAACGUGUUGGUGGUGUUGCAAUGUCGGGAAGUUCUACCGACGAUGUGAUCCAGGUGACUUGCCUCUUUCUUGGGUACGCUUCGUGGGGUGAUAGGGUGAUGAUGUUUCAGUUGAUUGGUUACAGGAUUUCUGCCGCUGUUGAUGCUGCGCUGACAAUUAUCCUCUUUGUGAAAUGAGUAAAUUUUUGGAGGUUGUUUACGUUUUUGGGGAUUAAUCUGAUGUUUUUGUAUUGGUUUCGUUUAUUUAAUGAAAUCUCCGGAAAAUUUUGAUGACAAUUUCUUUCUACUGAAUAUAAACACUUGGGAUUAUUUAAUACUGAAGAUUUUAGUGAGAAAGAACAUUACAAUCUAUGAUUCAAACUUUUUUGGUUAGAAAACACAUGCUAGGAGUUUGCAUGUUCUGUUUUGAUUUGCUUGGUAUCCAUAAACUAUUAUAAUCUCUUGCCGUUAAUCUCUCUUUUAUGUUCUUUUUCCAUUGCCAAAGAAGCUCAGAAUUAUGUUAUGAGGGUUAACAUGAGUAAAAAUGUGAUCUUUGGUUUAAUACCACUUGACAUAUUCAAUUCAAGAAACUUUAUAGCAUUCUUUAAGUUUUCAAAUGCAUCCCUGUUUCGAAUCAUCAGGCAUCCAAAUGCCUGAUGGUACUGCUGUUAGAGAAGAAUCAUCAGGCUUCCAGAUCCCUAGCAUUCAAAAUGUUCUACCUUUCUCCAAGUUUGAUCAUGCAUUUAUUGGAUUGUUUUAGGCAAAGAUUGUGACGGUAAUUGGCUGAAGUUCUGUUCACUUGAAGAAUCAUCAGGUAUACUCUUAUUUGGAUGUUAGAAGAAAAUGUUAAAGUUCAACAUCUAACACCAAUAAAUCUUUCAAAUACUGAAAUCUGAAUGGACUUCUGCAAUCGCAUAAAAAUCAAGGCAAAAAGAAAGCAGUAAUGUCCUGAAGUCUGCAAUGUUACACUCGAGAUCAAGAAUCACAAGGCUCACACGAGGCACGAUAGAAGGAGAUGAUUGGGAGAGGCAUACCAUUCUAUAUAUGAGGUGGCUGGAGACCUGAUGGAGUGAUGAGUCUAAGGAGAUGAGUGUACACCAAAUAGGAAUACUGAAAGUAAGCAGGGGGGAGGAUCCUUUCAUCCAUGACCUUUUGGCUAGCUUUCUUCCAGUUGAAUUGAUUGAUUGGGACCACGAAAGGAAUGGGAAAAGAGGGGCAAAGCUUCUGAUGAUAUCAGAUAAGCAGGGAUCUUCUCGUCUUCCUGGGGUGAGUCAAGCUCACUUGUCAUGUUGUUCCUCCUUUUGCUGGUCCUCUUACUCAAGACAAUGUAUAAGCAAAAAAACCUAAGAUUCAGGCGGGAUGCUGUUUUGAUCAGUCGUUCAAUGUGUAAGCAAAAAACCUAAGAUUCAUGCGGAUUCUGUUUUGAUCAGCCCUUCAAUUGAAUAGUGAAGGGUGGGGUAGUUUUGUA